UAAACCAUCCAAUAAAAGGUGCCAGGACAGUUGACUAAGUAGAAAGAGAUAACAUUCCAUCUUACAACAGCAGCAAAAAAAUCCAGACAGAUUAAAGACUGAAAUUCUAGAAAAGAAUACUGGCGAACAUUUUUGUGACAUCACUGUAGAGAAAGAUACCAUGAUGGAGAUCCAAAAAACCCAAACCCAUCAUAAAUGCUAUACACACGUGCUCCACUCCAGCCCGCCUGCCUCAUCCAGCGGAGAAGAGAGGCUGAGAAGCACACGUGAAGUCACAACCUAGGCGCACUGGUCACCAGAAGACUGAGACCUGAUCACAGGACCACAAAACUUCCCCUCCCUCCACAUCAAUCACCCUUCUGUAUAAUAAUGGGGAAUUAUAGCUGCUAGAGCUGCACAGCUCAGACCUUAUUUUUAAACUCUCUAGGGAACCCCGAAGAAAACAGGAAACAAAGCAAGGACACCAGAGGGGACUCCAGCCUCUGACAUCUACGGCCAAGCGCACAGUAAACAGCCCAACUCACAGCCAGGUAGACACGAGCCUUGUGCCAGAGGCCCAUUGACCCAUUAUUUUGUCUGGAAUAUCACGUCUGGCAUUAAACAGAAAGUACAAGGCAUGCUACCAGUCUGAAGAGACAAAGAAAACAUCAGAAUCAGACUCAGAUAUGGCAGAGAUUUUGGAAUUAUUGGACCAGGAAUUUAAAAUAACUGUGAUUGGGGCGCCUGGAGUUCUAUUGGAAAAAGUGGACAACUUGCAGCAACGAGUCAUGUAAGCACAGAGACGGAAAAUCGAAGAAAGAAUUUUUUAAAUGCUAGAAAUCAAAAACACUGUAGCAGAAACGAUGAACACCUUUGAUGCACUCAAGGGCAAACCCAGGCGUGGUUGAUGGGAGAGCCAGGGACCUUGAAGAUAUGUCAACAGAAACUCCUAAAGCUGCCUUGCACAGAGAGGAAAAGUGACCCAGACGGAGCAGAACGCCCAUGGAGGGUAGGACGGGCUGUGAGAGGUGGCCGUACGUGCAGCGAGCCCGCCACAAGGAGAACAACGAAAGGGACAGAAGAAACAUUUCAAAUAAUAACAGCUGAGAAAUUUCAAAACCAAUGACAGACACUAAACCGCAGAUCCAGGAAGCUUAGAGAGCACCAAUCAGUAUAAAUGCACCCCAGCAUCUACACUAUGGCAUCUCAUAUUCCAACUGCAGAAAAUCAAAGACAAAGAGAAUAUCUUGAACAAGUCAAAGGGAAAAGCUCCUAACCUACUGAGAAACAAAGGCAGAGCUCCAUUUACUUUUUCAGAAACCACACAAGAAGAGAAUGAAAUUAAAUAUUUAAGGUGUAAAAGAAAAAACACACACCAACCUAGCAGUUCUGUAUCCAGUGAAAUUAUCCUUCACAAGAAAGGAGAAAUACUUGUACAGAUAAACAAAAAAUGAAGGAUUCUGUCAACAGUUGGUCUACCUUGAAAGAAAUGUGAAAAGAAGCUCUUCAGAGAGAAGGAAAACAAUAUAGGUGAGAAUCGGAUCUAUAGAAAAGCUAUGCAAAUAUCCAAGGAGAAGCAUUCCAAGCUUUGGGAAGAGCAGUACAAAGGCCCUGGGGCAGGGUGGGGGGCAGAGGAGUGGGGAGCUUGCUGGGAAUGUUUCAGGAACAGCAGAAAAGCUGAGGUAAUUGAAACAGACCUAUUUGUUAUUAAAGGAAGUUAAAAAUAAGAAUAAAGAUACAUUACCUGUAUAAAAAUUGACUCCCCCUCCCAAGUAGUUCUCAAUACCAUUAACAUACAGAAACAAUCGAAAACUACACAGAGUCAAUAUUUAUUCUGUUGGAAAACCUAUGACCAAAGGGAUAUGUGAGUAUUUAGGCUCAGGAAAAAGGCACUAAGUUAUGUGGGUCUGGAUCCUGUAAGGUCAGCCGUCCGUCUUCGCUAACUGCUGCAGCCAUGCUGCCUCUUCCUGUAGCACUCCCCUCACACGAAUGACGAAGUCCGUGUUUGAAAAGACCGACUUGCUUCAAGCCACGUCUCCCAUACUAAUUCGUGUAUCUUGCAGAGCUCCUACUAAUCUCACAGUUUUGAGUGCUUUGUGUAUAGACAGCACCUGUAUUAAGCCUUCAGGAUCGACGUCAAAAGAGAGGUGUCUGCAGGGAAAGAUGUAAUUAAGGACACCAAGAGACCCUGAGGGGCACGCAGCUAUGACGCUCCCCUGCCGGCAACAGCACGCAGCCAGGAGGCACCGUCGCCAAAGCACCCAGGGUCUUCGCAUCCAGAGACGUGACCGCGUGGAUUUCCAAACUGUGGCACAAAGAAGCCAGGGAGGGAGACACAGGGCUGAGAAAGAAACCCCAUGCCACGUGGUCAACUCGGUCCAGCACUCCUGCUGAGUGGCGCGUUCUGGUUAGCGAUAAGCCACAAAGCAAAGCAACACACGCCUCACAAGGGUGCGAGCUCAGGUAAGCCAGGGCCAUGGUUAUGACCACGCCGUCCAUGUGGCAGUCCAGGCAGGAAUGACAACGGCGGAAAGAAAUGAAAGAUUCCCGUACUGGAAAUAAUCCCGAACAUAAGGACACAAUAUUUCCACCUACGCCAUGGCCCUUCACUGCCUCACCCCUGCACUGUCAACUACAUGCUGCCUCGGUCAGUCCCUGAAGGCCGCUCCUGCCUCCUCAGUGAAAACACGGACAACAGGCCGCUACAGGUCCGUGGUUCCCUGCAGACCUCGGGCCGCGCUGAUGGACACCCGCUGUCGGUGUGCCAGGGAGGAGAGUCUUGGCGCUCAGAUUUGUGGCUGGCACAGCAUUGGAAGACAGGCUUUAUGAACUACCUAUGAAUAUAUUUAUAUUACGGUCGGUUAUCAUCACUGAAAGGAAAUCUCGCCACUGUGCUCAUUUGUAAAUUCCAUAUGUCUACACACACACAAAUACAUAUACAUCCGUGAAGUUUCUGGAAGGCACGCAAAUCGUCUGGCCACCCUAUAGCAGUCAAGGGAAACGGAAGACAGGAGGAGAGUUAAAUUCAAGGCCCCAGGGGGCUAAGAUCACACGCUGUGUGAGGGGGAACCUCUCCUCUGAUCUGUGUGAACAAAUGCAAGGUGCUAAUACCCUGUGCACACCAGACUGUGACCUUUACUAACGAGAUUCCUCCUUGUUGAUUCAGGGGGUCCCAGGUGCAAACGUGUCCCGCCUAACGUGAGCAGCUACACUUGGCCUGGGGACGUGACCAGAACUUUCACCCUUGUCGCCUAAAUUAAAGGGUUGCUAAGUUUUCCGACAAAAACGCUCAUCGGCAAAACCAUGUCGCCCACAGCAAACUCCACGCAGGACAGGCAGCGUCUGGGUGGCACACACAGCCCAGGGAAGAAGGGUGUGACCUCGCCUCCUGGGCCACCCGCAGCAGAGACCGGUUGCCAGGCAGCAGAACGUGACAUUUACGAACGUGCCCACGAAACUUCCCUAGAUCUGACGGCACCCGAGCCGGCAAGCCUUCCUGCAACCGCGGACGAUUCCAGAAGGCCCCACGACCGCCUUGGAAAGCCCACGUCCCAGGAGGCGGAUGGGCACUGCUGGCAGAUGGGCACAGGUGAGCCCAUGUCACUGGGUCAGGGUGUCACCGGUACAUAAAACCUGCAGGAUGAACCUACUGUGGCUCACUCGGAACACCUGUGGGUCCCCUAACCCACGCAGCCCACGGUCCUGGACACAGCGGGGGCACACGGUGCGGAGAGGGAAGAACACGGUCAGAGCACUGCAGGCAGGGACACGCUGGGCACCUGCAGCACAUCUCACGUGUUCAUAGUACAUCGUGGCACCACUAUUUUCAUAAAAUUAAUGAACUCU